UUGACCUCGGAUCAGGUAGGGAACCCCUAACCUUA
rnacentral:rRNA from 1 species